rnacentral:tRNA from 1 species
CCCGAUGGCUCAGUGGGUGAAGAAUCUGCCUGCAAUGCAGGAGAUGCAGGUUCGAUCCCUGUGUCAGGA